rnacentral:lncRNA from 1 species
GGCGCAUACCACCACGCCCAGCUAAUUUUUUGUAUUUUUAGUAGAAAUGGGGUUUCACCAUGUUAGCCAGGCUGGACUUGAACUCCUGACCUCAAGUGAUCUGCCCGCCUCGGCCUCCCAAAGUGCUGGGAUUACAGGCGUGAGCCACUGCACCAGCCUCAGCUAUGUUCUCUAAACCCACACCCCAGACCUACAUUUGAAACCCAGAUCCCCCUGGCUUCAGUCACAAACCUGAAGGAGGAAAUCUCCACACCACAGCCUGGAACUGAACUUAUCAUCCCCGUCUGAUCCACAGUAAGCUGCUCUUUCAGACUCCUCAUCUAUUUCCAUGGUUCUGCCAGUCUCCUGGGCAUUGCCAACCUGCCCACUGUCCUCUCCUUUUCCUACCCAAGGUAACUUUCCUUUGGUCAGUUACCAAAGCAGAUAGGCUUUCCCCGAUACAUUUUCCAUUUGUCUCUUCCUUUCUCUGCCUCCAGUCUGUUGUGUUUUCAGUUCCUGAGCACCUGCCUUUGUUAGCUUAAUCUCCCUAAACAGUGCCCGAUGGAGCAAUGAGUGAAACUGGAUCCCUUCCUUACACCUUAUAGAAAAAUUAAUUCAAGAUGGAUUAAAGACUUACAAACGGUGCUGUGUGGUAAAGUUCCAUGGCUUUUCCUGCCCUGGUCAUGUUUGGCUUCCCUGCGACGAGAGCCUGAACUUCACUGAGACUCCCCACAGAGGGGCUACAGUGCCAAACACAGAGGUCCACCGCGUCGGUAUACAUACAGUGUAAUAUCACUUUUGCAUAUUUUUGUGGUAUAAUGGACUCAUCUAAUAUAAUUCUUGUGGGAGUCCUCAAAGUUCCAUCUGUGAUUUCUUCAACAAAUUCUUCACUAAGCUGAACAAGGAUAACGACAUUUUGAAACCCUGAGUCUUCCAUUCCAAACUCUCCUGUAUAAAGAUAGUGUAACAAAGCAGAAAACAUGGGCAUAUCAAUACCAGCUGUAUUGAUGUCCAUUAUUAUCUCUGCCCCAUACUCAGGUGAGGAAGAAAGCAUUUAAAAAAUGGACACCUUGCUGCCAAAAUGGCACGAUGAACAGGAUAACAAGUUUCUUGAAAUAUGAAAUCUGUAUCAGUACGAUACUUGUACUCAUAAAGAUCAGCCAUAUCUUUCUGCAAUGUCCGGGCUUCCGGUCUAGCCAAACUGGCUUGUAGGGAAAGCUUCUAUAAUGCUGACCUUCCCUCAUAUUCCUCCACUAAUGCACUGACAUCUCUAAUAUC